GUAGGUGGCAAACGUUGUCCGGAAUUACUGGGCGUAAAGGGCUCGUAGGCGGUCCAACAAGUCGUUUGUGAAAUCUCCCGGCCUAACCGGGAGCGGUCGGGCGAAACUGUUGAACUUGAGGAUGUCAGAGGAAGACGGAAUUCCCGGUGUAGUGGUGAAAUGCGUAGAUAUCGGGAGGAACACCAGUGGCGAAAGCGGUCUUCUGGGGCAUUUCUGACGCUGAGGAGCGAAAGCGUGGGGAGCAAACCGGAUUAGAUACCCGGGUAGUCCACGCCCUAAACGAUGGAUGCUAGGUCUUGGGGGUAUCGACCCCCUCUGGGCCCAAAGCUAACGCGUUAAGCAUCCCCCCGCCUGGGGACUACGGCCGCAAGGCU
rnacentral:rRNA from 1 species